CACUGAAACAGGGGUACCCGUGCGAUCACCAAAGUUAAGCAACGUCGAGUCUGGUCAGUACCUAGAUGGGUGACUGCUUCGGAAAUAUCAUGUGCUGUAAG